rnacentral:rRNA from 1 species
GUGAGGAAUAUUGGGCAAUGGGCGAAAGCCUGACCCAGCCACGCCGCGUGAGUGAUGAAGGCCUUCGGGUUGUAAAGCUCUGUGGGGUGGGAAGAAAAAGCGGGAGAGUAACUGCUCUCGUGUUGACGGUACCUCCUUAGCAAGCACCGGCUAACUCUGUGCCAGCAGCCGCGGUAAUACAGAGGGUGCAAACGUUGCUCGGAAUUACUGGGCGUAAAGCGCGUGUAGGCUGACAUGCAAGUCGGGUGUGAAAUCCCAGGGCUCAACCUUGGAACUGCACUCGAAACUGCACGUCUUGAGUACUGGAGAGGGAAGCGGAAUUCCGGGUGUAGAGGUGAAAUUCGUAGAUAUCCGGAGGAACACCAGUGGCGAAGGCGGCUUCCUGGACAGUAACUGACGCUGAGACGCGAAAGCGUGGGGAGCAAACAGGAUUAGAUACCCGGGUAGUCC